GUGCCAGCAGCCGCGGUAAUACGUAGGUGGCAAGCGUUAUCCGGAUUCACUGGGCGUAAAGCGCGUGCAGGCGGUUUCGUAAGUCGGACGUGAAAGCUCCUGGCUUAACUGGGAGAGGUCGUUCGAUACUGCGGGGCUUGAGGUCGGGAGAGGGACGUGGAAUUCCCGGUGUAGUGGUGGAAUGCGUAGAUAUCGGGAGGAACACCAGUGGCGAAGGCGACGUCCUGGCCCGCACCUGACGCUGAGACGCGAAAGCGUGGGUAGCAAACGGGAUUAGAUACCCCCGUAGUCC
rnacentral:rRNA from 1 species